AUUUAGUUCUGAAGUGUCAAUUCUAAAUGGUUCUGAAUCACAAAGUGAAGACUUUAUUUAUGAUGUGUCAAUGCAAAGUGAUAUUGAAUCAAGAAAUGCGGUGUUUGAGACUCCAAU
rnacentral:lncRNA from 1 species